rnacentral:lncRNA from 1 species
ACAACUAUCUUCUUCCCCUUCAAAUUCACUUGCCACACCCUCAAUUAAUGAUAUAGGUUCCAUCUUCGUCUUCUCCAUCAGCAAAUCUUAGGUCUAAGGUUUUCUCGUUCUCAUAAUUCUCACUCCUCUCAAACCUUAGCUAGGGUUUCAUCUGCAAUUCAAUGUUAAUCACUUAGUUAGGUUGAUAAUUCCUCACUCCUCUCUAUACUCCAUUAUUUAUUAUCUUCUUCAUUCUUUUUGUUGUUAUCUCUUCACAGAUGAAUGGGGUUUCAGUUUCCAGCCACACAAAUUGCUCAACUCUUCACAAAUAAUUAGUGUGUUAUCUCUUCACAGAUAAUUGGGGUUAAUAAUAAGAACAAAUUGUUGAAUCUCUUACAGGUUAUUAUUCUCUCCCCUAACUAUAAUAUUCAAUUCAAUUUAUUGUGUGAAAAUUCUUAAAAAUUUUGUUGAAAAAACAGAUCUGACAGACCUUAUCAGACUGUUUUCUUGUUUUACACUUAGUCCCACAUGAGUUGUGGGAAGUGGGUAAAGAUGUUCAAAUACAAAAUUAUUACACUAAGGGUGUAGCCCUUUGGGUUAUCAAGUUUUCGCGCGAUAGCGCAAGGCUAUACACUUAGUUGUACACCACAACAGACGAUAGUCGUGUCUGUUGUGAACAGGCACGACUUACUCUAUAAAUUGAGUUUUGCUCUGGCCAGGCACACGAUUUAUUCAGACUAAGUCUGCUUCUCUCUCUCUCCAUAGAAAUUCGAAGUGUUCUUCUUGUUUGUUCGCCAGUAUUCUGCUAUUACAGUGCAAUCUAGCAGUUGUAUCUUGGGAGACUAUCGUCCAAUAUCCGUGUGCACCAGUAGCAGGGACGUAAUAUUGUCUUAAGGAUAUUGCUUCGGCAAGCCUUUGUUCAUCUCCUUAAUCAAUCAAGUUGUGUAGUAAGUGUUACUGUAUUCAUGAAUUCAUUUAAUAUAUUAUUAUUUGUUUACGGUUUGAAUUAGUAUAUUCUUUAUUUCUGUAAUUCGUGUAUGUUAUAUUCCUGAGUUCAUACAAUAUAAUCCCAACAAAUUUCAUAUCAUCAUUCCAAAAUCUCAGAUGGCAAAUUUUGUUUCAUUGAAACCCUAGUUUUUCAAAUACUGGAUUAAAUACUUAAAGACAUGUAGGUAUAAAUAUCAUGAAUGAACUAAGUUAUUUUUAAUAUUCAAUUCAGUUUAUUUGUUUUUUUUUUCUUUUGUUAGAUUGUGUACUUGAGUUCUGAUAAUUGGGCUUUCAUUGAUAAUUGGAUCUCACUAAUAAUUCUUUUUUCUUUAAGUUCAAUAAAGUUUAUGUCCUUAGUUAAAUGUUAGAAUGUGAUUGUUUACUGGGAACAAAUUAAUUAUAUAGGCCUAGAAUUGGAAGCCUACUUGUCUUGUAACAGAUUUUUGUCCUAGGCAUCUCUACUUCUAUUUUUGCAAAAUAAAUGCAAGAAGAUGAAUGUGUAUCUUCUACAUGAUGCAUUCAAGAGUACACACUACAGAAACAUGAAAGCAGUGUUGCAGAACACCACGACACUGUUGUGGAAUGACUUGACAAAACUGAACUGUAGGACUCCUGUUUUGUACUGGUGUACGUUGGGGUGAUAUUAGAAUUUGUUUACAAACAUUUUCUAUUUCUUUUCAAGCUCCUGCUACGAUAAAGUUUUAUAUAUUUUUCUCUUUGGAUAAUAGCUUUUGUUAAGUGUGCAUUUCUCUUGCUCCCAUUCGUUCCUGAAUUCUUUUGAACUUCUUGCUGCUCUGUAGGUCACAGUUGGCUCUUUUGUUUGAAUUCCUCAAUUUCUUGGAUAGGUGAUCAAAAAUAGUAACCAGUUUUGCGCCUUUGCUUUGGCGCAUUACUUUCUAAGUAAGAUUUUCUAUGCUAAGUACUAUAGUUUAACAUUUGGACUUAAAUAUUUUUUUUUUUUUGUUCUAGCUUAAAUAGUUAUUUAGAUCUUAUAAUCAGCCAUAUUACAAUUGAUUCUAUAUUUGGCCGUAUUAUUUUGUAUGUUGGGACAGUGGAUUGCUAUCACUUAUUUAUAUUUUUUUAGGAGGCAUAUAGUCUACUUUUUUGGUGUAAUAUGUAAUGCUCAUGGUAAAUAUGAAUGGAUAUUUUUAGUUGGCGCAUAACAACUUAUUAGUUCUUGAAUGAUGUUGGGAGGGAUUUUCUUAAAUUGAAGCUCCACAAGGAGACACUACACCGGAAAUGCUUGAGAGCAGUGGCUCAUGCAUUCUAAAAUCUAAACCAACUGGAAUCGGGAUAUCUG